rnacentral:rRNA from 1 species
UAGGGAAUCUUCGGCAAUGGGGGCAACCCUGACCGAGCAACGCCGCGUGAGUGAAGAAGGUUUUCGGAUCGUAAAGCUCUGUUGUAAGUCAAGAACGAGUGUGAGAGUGGAAAGUUCACACUGUGACGGUAGCUUACCAGAAAGGGACGGCUAACUACGUGCCAGCAGCCGCGGUAAUACGUAGGUCCCGAGCGUUGUCCGGAUUUAUUGGGCGUAAAGCGAGCGCAGGCGGUUUGAUAAGUCUGAAGUUAAAGGCUGUGGCUCAACCAUAGUUCGCUUUGGAAACUGUCAAACCUGAGUGCAGAAGGGGAGAGUGGAAUUCCAUGUGUAGCGGUGAAAUGCGUAGAUAUAUGGAGGAACACCGGUGGCGAAAGCGGCUCUCUGGUCUGUAACUGACGCUGAGGCUCGAAAGCGUGGGGAGCGAACAGGAUUAGAUACCCUGGUAGUCCACGCCGUAAACGAUGAGUGCUAGGUGUUGGAUCCUUUCCGGGAUUCAGUGCCGCAGCUAACGCAUUAAGCACUCCGCCUGGGGAGUACGACCGCAAGGUUG